AUUGAACGCUGGCGGCAGGCUUAACACAUGCAAGUCGAGCGGGGUGAUGGUGCUUGCACUAUCACUUAGCGGCGGACGGUUGAGUAAUGCUUAGGAAUCUGCCUAUUAGUGGGGGACAACAUCUCGAAAGGGAUGCUAAUACCGCAUACGUCCUACGGGAGAAAGCAGGGGAUCACUUGUGACCUUGCGCUAAUAGAUGAGCCUAAGUCGGAUUAGCUAGUUGGUGGGGUAAAGGCCUACCAAGGCGACGAUCUGUAGCGGGUCUGAGAGGAUGAUCCGCCACACUGGGACUGAGACACGGCCCAGACUCCUACGGGAGGCAGCAGUGGGGAAUAUUGGACAAUGGGGGGAACCCUGAUCCAGCCAUGCCGCGUGUGUGAAGAAGGCCUUAUGGUUGUACAGCACUUUAAGCGAGGAGGAGGCUCUUUUGGUUAAUACCCAAGAUGAGUGGACGUUACUCGCAGAAUAAGCACCGGCUAACUCUGUGCCAGCCGCCGCGGUAA
rnacentral:rRNA from 1 species